UACGGAGGGGGCAAGCGUUGUUCGGAAUUACUGGGCGUAAAGGGCGCGUAGGCGGCCUUCUAAGUCGAACGUGAAAUCCCUGGGCUCAACCCAGGAACUGCGUCCGAUACUGGGAGGCUUGAAUCCGGGAGAGGGAUGUGGAAUUCCAGGUGUAGCGGUGAAAUGCGUAGAUAUCUGGAGGAACACCGGUGGCGAAGGCGGCAUCCUGGACCGGUAUUGACGCUGAUGCGCGAAAGCCAGGGGAGCAAACGGG
rnacentral:rRNA from 1 species